rnacentral:lncRNA from 1 species
AAGAGUCAAUUUUGACCAAGCUAGAGGAUCUUUAUUCUGUAGAUACUGCAAAAAAUCUGGCCACUUAAUUGGUAAGUGUUUCAAGAUUCAUGGGUAUCCACAAAGUACAACAUUUAACAACGGGAGGAGACCUGCUGCCGCUCAUCUAACUGCUGGGUGUGGAUUUUCCUUCUUCUGAAGGACAUGUGUCUGUUCCCCAAGGAAAUCCUCCUGAAAGCCAUCACUCUGUU